rnacentral:rRNA from 1 species
UACGGAGGGUGCGAGCGUUGUCCGGAAUCACUGGGCGUAAAGGGCGCGUAGGCGGUCUGCUAAGCGUGUGGUGAAAGCUCGGGGCUCAACCCCGAGUCUGCCAUGCGAACUGGUGGACUUGAGCACUGUAGAGGCAGGUGGAAUUCCGGGUGUAGCGGUGGAAUGCGUAGAGAUCCGGAAGAACACCAGUGGCGAAGGCGGCCUGCUGGGCAGUUGCUGACGCUGAGGCGCGACAGCGUGGGAAGCAAACAGG